rnacentral:rRNA from 1 species
UACGUAGGGUGCAGGCGUUAAUCGGAAUUACUGGGCGUAAAGCGUGCGCAGGCGGUUUCUUAAGUCAGAUGUGGAAGCCCCGGGCUUAACCUGGGAACUGCGUUUGAAACUGGGAGACUUGAGUGUGGCAGAGGGGGGUGGAAUUCCACGUGUAGCAGUGAAAUGCGUAGAUAUGUGGAGGAACACCGAUGGCGAAGGCAGCCCCCUGGGUUAACACUGACGCUCAUGCACGAAAGCGUGGGGAGCAAACAGG